AUUGAACGCUGGCGGCAGGCCUAACACAUGCAAGUCGAACGAGGCGCGGACGGGUGAGUAAUGUCUGGGAAACUGCCUGAUGGAGGGGGAUAACUACUGGACACGGUAGCUAAUACCACAUACCAUCAGAUGUGCCCAGAUGGGAUUAGCUUGUUGGUGGGGUAACGGCUCACAAAGGCGACGAUCCCUAGCUGGUCUGAGAGGAUGCCCAGCCACACUGGAACUGAGACACGGUCCAGACUCCUACGGGAGGCAGCAGUGGGGAAUAUUGCACAAUGGGCGCAAGCCUGAUGCAGCCAUGCCGCGUGUAUGAAGAAGGCCUUCGGGUUGUAAAGUACUUUCAGCGGGGAGGCGUUACCCGCAGAAGAAGCACCGGCUAACUCCGUGCCAGCAGCCGCGGUAAUAC
rnacentral:rRNA from 1 species